GCGUUGGCCUAAUGGUUAGGGCGUUGAACUCCGGAUCGAGAUGCCUGGGUUCGAGCCCUGGCUGGGGUCA